rnacentral:rRNA from 1 species
GACGAACGCUGGCGGCGUGCUUAACACAUGCAAGUCGAACGGAAAGGCCCUGCUUUUGUGGGGUGCUCGAGUGGCGAACGGGUGAGUAACACGUGAGUAACCUGCCCUUGACUUUGGGAUAACUUCAGGAAACUGGGGCUAAUACCGGAUAGGAGCUCCUGCUGCAUGGUGGGGGUUGGAAAGUUUCGGCGGUUGGGGAUGGACUCGCGGCUUAUCAGCUUGUUGGUGGGGUAGUGGCUUACCAAGGCUUUGACGGGUAGCCGGCCUGAGAGGGUGACCGGCCAAAUUGGGACUGAGAUAAGGACCAGAAUCAUACGGGAGGCAGAAGUGGGGAAUAUUGCACAAUGGGCGGAAGCCUGAUGCAGCAACGCAGCGUGCGGGAUGACGGCCUUCGGGUUGUAAACCGCUUUCGCCUGUGACGAAGCGUGAGUGACGGUAAUGGGUAAAGAAGCACCGGCUAACUACGUG